rnacentral:rRNA from 1 species
AACCUGCCCAAGAGAUCGGGAUAACACCUGGAAACAGAUGCUAAUACCGGAUAACAACAGAUGAUGCCUAUCAACUGUUUAAAAGAUGGUUCUGCUACCACUCUUGGAUGGACCUGCGGUGCAUUAGCUAGUUGGUAGGGUAACGGCCUACCAAGGCGAUGAUGCAUAGCCGAGUUGAGAGACUGAUCGGCCACAUUGGGACUGAGACACGGCCCAAACUCCUACGGGAGGCAGCAGCC